CUAUAAAUAAUGAGCUCUUAACAAUAAGCUCUUUUUUUCUCUUCUUCCAUUUCUACACACUCUUUCUCUCAGGCGAUCUCGCUGGUGCUCCGGCCAUUAUUACGUCGGAAAAUAUCCCUUCUUCUUUCUUUCUCUCUCUCUCUAACUAAAGAGUACUUCCAGGGAUUGAAGGGUUAAGGCGAGCAUGGACGGAACUGGAAUGAGAAAUGUGAGCUCCAACUGCUCCAUUUCUGAAAUAGAUGAUUAUGAUCUCUCUAAGCUUCUCGACAAGCCAAGGUUAAACAUAGAGAGGAAGAGAUCUUUUGAUGAGAGGUCACUCAGUGAGUUAUCCAUAGGUCUAAGUAGAGGUUUAGAUCAUUAUGAAAGCGCCUCACCAGGCCGGUCAGUCUUGGACACACCAACUUCAUCAGCCCGGAACUCUUUUGAGCCCCAUCCAAUGGUCGCUGAAGCAUGGGAUGCUCUCCGCCACUCUUUGGUUUAUUUUCGCGGUCAACCAGUUGGCACAAUUGCUGCAGUUGACCAUUCCUCUGAAGAAGUCCUCAACUAUGAUCAGGUUUUUGUUCGAGAUUUUGUGCCUAGUGCUUUGGCCUUCCUGAUGAAUGGAGAGCCAGAUAUAGUUAAGAACUUCUUGUUAAAGACACUUCAGCUUCAGGGAUGGGAAAAAAGAAUAGAUAAUUUCAAGCUGGGAGAAGGGGUUAUGCCUGCUAGUUUCAAGGUUCUUCAUGAUCCUGUUCGUAAGACAGAUACCAUUGUGGCAGAUUUUGGUGAGAGUGCAAUUGGAAGAGUUGCUCCAGUUGAUUCUGGGUUUUGGUGGAUAAUUCUUCUCCGUGCUUACACAAAAUCUACUGGAGAUCUGAGUCUCGCUGAAACACCAGAGUGCCAGAAGGGGAUGAGGCUUAUAUUAAGCUUGUGCUUAUCCGAAGGAUUUGACACAUUUCCAACGCUCCUAUGUGCUGAUGGAUGCUCAAUGAUUGAUCGGAGAAUGGGAGUUUAUGGAUAUCCUAUUGAGAUCCAAGCACUCUUCUUCAUGGCACUAAGAUCUGCAUUGGCCAUGUUGAAGCACGAUACAGAGGGGAACGAAUUUAUUGAGAGAAUAGUGAAACGCCUGCAUGCCUUGAGUUAUCAUAUGCGAAGUUAUUUUUGGCUUGACUUUCAACAGUUAAAUGACAUAUAUCGCUAUAAAACUGAAGAGUAUUCUCACACUGCAGUAAAUAAGUUUAAUGUUAUUCCUGAUUCAAUCCCAGAAUGGGUAUUUGAUUUUGUGCCUACGCGUGGUGGUUACUUUAUUGGAAACGUUAGUCCUGCAAGGAUGGACUUCAGGUGGUUUGCUUUGGGUAACUGUAUUGCCAUCUUGUCUUCCCUUGCCACUCCAGAGCAAGCUUCUGCUAUUAUGGAUCUCAUAGAAGCCCGCUGGGAGGAGCUAGUAGCCGAUAUGCCUUUGAAGAUAUGCUAUCCAGCAAUUGAAAAUCACGAUUGGCGGAUAGUAACUGGUUGUGAUCCCAAGAAUAUUAGAUGGAGUUACCAUAACGGAGGAUCUUGGCCAGUGCUUUUGUGGUUGCUAACGGCUGCCUGCAUUAAGACUGGGCGGCCACAAAUCGCAAGACGAGCAAUUGAUCUUGCUGAGAGCCGCUUGCUUAAAGACAGCUGGCCCGAAUAUUAUGAUGGAAAACUAGGAAGGUACAUUGGUAAACAAGCAAGGAAGCACCAGACAUGGUCAAUUGCUGGAUAUCUUGUAGCAAAGAUGUUGCUGGAGGAUCCUUCACACUUGGGAAUGAUCUCUUUGGAAGAGGACAAGCAAAUGAAGCCUGUAAUCAAACGAUCAUCUUCGUGGACGUGUUGAGGUAUCGAGUUGAAGCAAGAGACAAACAGUAGAAAUGGAUAGAGAAACACAGAAGGUACGUAUUUACAGGACGCCGCAUCUGCUCAGUAGGAUUUGCUCGUAUCAACUCAUUGAUGAGCCCCAUCUCAUUCGGGGUUUAGUUAGUUAUCUUUAUUUUACUAGUCAUGCAUUUAAAGGUAUGCUGGGGGCCUUGUCCCAGCAGGUACGUUUUCCAGUCAAGAUUCACGAUUAGAGGUUUCAUAGACUAGUCAAUUUAGUUAUGUUAGACAUGCAAGGUGUUUAGCCAUCUUUGGCUCAACUCACGUUAUUUCCGCAUUUAUGAUUUAAACAAGUAUUUCAUUAAA